rnacentral:rRNA from 1 species
AUACGGAGGAUCCGAGCGUUAUCCGGAUUUAUUGGGUUUAAAGGGUGCGUAGGCGGGACUGUAAGUCAGGGGCGAAAUACUGCAGCUUAACUGUAGCAUUGCCUUUGAAACUGCCGUUCUUGAGUACAGUUGAGGUAGGCGGAAUGUGGUGUGUAGCGGUGAAAUGCAUAGAUAUACCACAGAACGCCGAUUGCAAAGGCAGCUUACUAAGCUGUUACUGACGCUGAGGCACGAAAGCGUGGGGAUCAAACAGGAUUAGAUACCCUGGUAGUCCACGCUGUAAACGAUGAUUACUGGUUGUUAGCGAUAUAUAGCUAGUGACUGAGCGAAAGCAUUAAGUAAUCCACCUGGGGAGUGCGUCGGCAACGAUGAAACUCAAAUGAAUUGACGGGG